AAAAAAAACAUUGUUUGGUAGUAAACAAAACUUGGAUGUUUAAGAUUUAGUGAGUAUUUAACUUUAUUUUGUGUUUCACAAGUACAAAUUAUGGAGUUACAUUUUAGCAUUUUCAUAUAUUUUAGCCUGUAUUAUUCAUUGUAUCUUUGUUUUACUGUGGCAACUGUAGUUCUUGUGUAAUUUUCACAUAAUGAUGCAUUGUAUUUUUCAUUGGAAAGAAAGUUUUAUAAAAUCAAUACAGUUUUUGGAUAGUUUAAACCACCAUCAUGUUUCUUGAAAUAGUGUGAAAAGCUUUUAAAUGAUAAACAGAAGAAAAAAAAACUAUUUCAUUGAUGUUCAAGAGCAUAAUUUCUUCAUCAGAUUUUGAAUUGUCUCUAUUUUCAAACAAUAUGAAACCAUUGUAACUUCAAAAUAUAGAAACUUAUCAAAAAAAUUAUGUUAUUUAAGAAUCCAAAUACUUUCCAACAUUAGUUAAAUUCAUGACACACCCUUUAAAUUCAGGAUUGAUCAUCUUAACAUUUGUCAGAUACAGUUUUCACAAAAAGGUGAAAAUCAUGAAAGAACUUAAACUUCAUUGAACUUAAUGUUUCUUGCAGUAAUAAAGGUACAUUACCCCAUAUCAUUAGCCCUUACUUUCGAAAGAAACUUAAUAAAAAAUAAUGAUAAAUUUAUCAAUUCUAUUUUGAAUUUAUAUUUUAAGCCUUCUUAAAACAUGACUUGCUGUUUAAUAAAGUGGACAAUAAUGGAUUAGUUAUUUUGUCUCUUUAAUUUAAAAAAAAUAAAGAGUUAAUUUGGUUUAUUCAAUGUGUCUUUAUGUAUUAACAAUUAUCAGGUAGUGCUGAACCACAAAUUUUAAAGGAUAAUGAAGACUUAGAUGUGUAUGAAAUUCAAGAGGUGUGAAUGCUCUUUUUUCUUCUUCAUUUUUUUAAUAUUCACUAUCAUCUCCGAGGAUAAAUUAUUUUCCAUCUGGUUUUCCUUCUUUUUUUUUAAGGUUAUCCAAAGGUUAAAUCAUCUAGCAAAUUACAGUGAAAGUGUUUAUCUUCAAAAGAACAAUAUGUCGAUACUCACACUUUUACACACACACAAUAUUUUUUUAAUUGUUUUCUUAGAAUUAUAUAUUAUGCACAGCUUAAACUUUUAUUGUGUGUUGAUGCAUUAAAAUAAGUAUUUAUUAAAUACUUCCACUUCACAAAAGAGAUAUAAAUGUGAAAAUCCCAGAAUCAAUAGAUUAUUUCAGUGUGGCAUAGAUUUCAAAAGUUUUGUUGAUGUAGAAAUAAAUCAUCUUUAUAAUAUUCUAUUUAUUUAUGUUUUAAUGUAACUAACUGUUUUGUUUAUUGUUUUGAUUGUUAGAUAUUUAUUAUAUUAUGGAUUCUAAUUUAAGUUCUUCAAAUAUG
rnacentral:lncRNA from 1 species